rnacentral:rRNA from 1 species
CCUACGGGUGACAGCAGUGAGGAAUAUUGGUCAAUGGGCGAGAGCCUGAACCAGCCAAGUCGCGUGAAGGAUGACGGCCCUACGGGUUGUAAACUUCUUUUGUCAGGGAGCAAUUGGGUCCACGCGUGGGCUUAGCGAGAGUACCUGAAGAAAAAGCAUCGGCUAACUCCGUGCAAGCAGCCGCGGUAAUCCGGAGGAUGCGAGCGUUAUCCGGAUUUAUUGGGUUUAAAGGGUGCGUAGGCGGAAUAUCAAGUCAGCGGUAAAAAUUGGGGUCUCAACCCCGUCGUGCCGUUGAAACUGAUGUUCUUGAGUGGGCGAGAAGUAUGCGGAAUGCGUGGUGUAGCGGUGAAAUGCAUAGAUAUCACGCAGAACUCCGAUUGCGAAGGCAGCAUACCGGCGCCCAACUGACGCUGAAGCACGAAAGCGUGGGUAGCGAACAGGAUUAGAUACCCCGGUAGUC